UUUUUAGCUCUUUCUGCUUGCCGGCUCUGCAGCCAAGAUGGGAGGGAGGCCAUUUCCUUUCUGCUGAGAGCAGGUCAGCAACGAAGCUCCGGAGAGUGCAGCCCUUUCGCUGGCUGGGCGGAAUCUGCAGGAGAAUGCCUGGUCCCCUAGUAAGGUGGCCCCUCCAGGAGCAGGGUGGCCAGCCCCAGAGCCUUCUACCACCUGGAGACAAACCCUGAACCUGGAAAGUGAGAGGCGGGGCCAGGCCAUUUGCUAGUAGAGAAACGUAGGAAAGUUCCUUUUCUGUGUGUGUUUUCUCUUGACUUUAAAAAAUCAUAAGCUUGCCCAUGGAGUUUUUGUGAGAGGAGAGAUUUGAGCAACUCUGUGCCUGCCUCCUGGAUCCUUAGCUGGUCAUUUUGUGCUCUGUCAUCAGAAAAGGAAGAUGUCAAAUCACUGUCACUGGAUUUGACCAAUGGAAUUUUUGAAAACGUUUUCCAUUUUCUCAUGGUUUUGAAAAAUCUAUACUUACCAAGAAUUUGGCUUUAAGUUGUUUUGUUGUUUGCAACUUUCUUUUGUUCUCUGUUUCAUUUAUCAACCUAUAGAAACAGGUCAAAAAUUAAAUGACUCCUUAUACAAGGCAAUUAAAGACAUGAAUGUGGGUGACGCACCCUGGACGCAGAGAGCCUUUACCAUUCUCUGGGAGGAAGGAAGACGCGUGGGUGUGGCGGAGGUGAGGUGGCCAGGCCGCUGCUCCCUACGCACUGGGCUCCGUGCUCUGGGUGGGGCAAUGUCAGGGUUCUGCGCCCUCGCCCGGCGGCCUUCCAGACCUGACGCCCUAUUCGGAGCAGCAAAAUGGAAUCCUUAAGCCUGAGAAAAAGAUAGGACUCAUCAGCGGAUCUAAAAGCUGGUGCCUUGCUUUCAGAUGCUUUGCAGCUGUGACUGCUUGCGGAGUCCUUCCUUUGAGCCAUUGCCCCCUGCUGUUAUUUUGCCACCUCAUCCAAGAUGCCAAGAACUCUCAGGACAAGGCUCAAGAUAAAAAUAAAAGAUCAGAGCUAAACACACACACACACAGGCACACACGUGAGUGUGCACACAACUCCAAAACCUCCGGGAUUGACUCUGAAGAUGCAGGCAGAGGUGUAUUUGUACGGAGAGGCAUGGAUGUUGAACUGAGCAGCACCUCCUGUCCUGUGAUCUGGCCAUUUGUCCUGAAGGAACCAAGAAGAGACAGGCCUGAAUCCCUGGGCCGUCGGAGAACCCCAAGCAGCAGGGGCUCGCUGGUGGAACAAAGGGCCUCCCGACAUGUGUGAGGGCUGUGUUUUGUCGACUAGGUAUCACAUUCCAGCCACAGCAUGACAGACAAAUGUCAGGCCAGAUGAGGAGAUGCAAUCUGCUCGACCAAAUGCAUCUUUACCUUGCUCAUGUGGUGGGAGCAGAUGCUGACUCAAUACGGGUGCAGGUGCAGAAAAAAAAAAGGAGGAAAGCCCAGACACUGAGGCAAAGUGCUGUGAAAGCCCAGAGCCUCCAGGGAGGCUCACUUUUCCACAUUAUUGAUCCAAACUUCUAUGUGUCAUAGAUCUUGUCUAUGCUUUACCUUGUUGAAGCUUUCUGGCAGAGGAAGCCUGAGGGAAUCUUUGACAUCUGGAAACUGAAGGCCAUUAUACAAAUACCAGUCUUUCUACUCCCCUCCUUGUGAGAUGAACCUGAAGAGUCCCCCGUCAUUUGUGGCUGCCACAUUCACCCUUGAUGAUAGGACUGUCUUUAUGCUGCUGGGUGUCCUUGAAAGGGUGCUAAGGGGAGACUGCCUCAGUUAGGCAGGGCUGGUGAGCUCCUUACUCCUGACCUCUCCUACUGACACAGGAAACUUGACUUUGCUUAUUAAGGAAGCCCAAGCUUGUGUCACACAGGAGUUUUAACAUUGUGCCCUGAACCUUGAAAAUGGCCAGUGUCAACCUUACUAAAUAGUUCUUGAGAUGAGAGUUCUGAAAUUUCCUGAUUAUUGUUGUUUUUCCAAACAUCAUUUAUUGACAUCUGUUAGUGUGCCAUGUGUUCAGAUGGCAAACGUUGACAUCUGGUUAUCCACGGGGACACUAAUAUGCCUCCUUCUGCAACUCCUUUUUCUUCUUCUU
ensembl:lncRNA